rnacentral:rRNA from 1 species
CAAUAGCGUAUAUUAAAGUUGUUGCAGUUAGAACGCUCGUAGUCGGAUUUCGGGGCAGUCCGACCGGUCUGCCGAUGGGUAUGCACUGGCCGGAGUGUCCUUUUUGCCGGAGACCGUGCCUACUCUUAACUGAGCGGGGGCGGGAGACGGCACUUUUACUUUGAAAAAAUCAGAGUGUUUCAAGCAGGCAGCUCGCUCUUGCAUGGAUUAGCAUGGGAUAAUGAAAUAGGACUUUGGUGCUAUUUUGUUGGUUUCGAACACCGAAGUAAUGAUGAGAAGGGACAGUCAGGGGCACUCGUAUUCCGCAGAGAGAGGUGAAAUUCUCAGACCCGCGGAAGACGAACCACUGCGAANGNAUUUGCNAGGGAUGUUUNCACUG